rnacentral:rRNA from 1 species
GACGAACGCUGGCGGCGUGCUUAACACAUGCAAGUCGAACGGAAAGGCACUGCUUUUGUGGGGUGAUCGAGUGGCGAACGGGUGAGUAACACGUGAGUAACCUGCCCUUGACUUUGGGAUAACUUCAGGAAACUGGGGCUAAUACCGGAUAGGAGCUCCUGCUGCAUGGUGGGGGUUGGAAAGUUUCGGCGGUUGGGGAUGGACUCGCGGCUUAUCAGCUUGUUGGUGGGGUAGUGGCUUACCAAGGCUUUGACGGGUAGCCGGCCUGAGAGGGUGACCGGCCACAUUGGGACUGAGAUACGGCCCAGACUCCUACGGGAGGCAGCAGUGGGGAAUAUUGCACAAUGGGCGGAAGCCUGAUGCAGCAACGCCGCGUUCGGGAUGACGGCCUUCGGGUUGUAAACCGCUUUCGCCUGUGACGAAGCGUGAGUGACGGUAAUGGGUAAAGAAGCACCGGCUAACUACGUG